CAGCCGUAAACAAUGUGCGUUAGGUGUGUCGGUAACCACGCGUUACUGAUGCGCCGAAGAGAAAUCGUGAAACGCACCACCUGGGAAGUACGGUCGCAAGGCUGAAACUUAAAGGAAUUGGCGGGGGAGCACCACAACAGGUGGAGCCUGCGGUUUAAUUGGAUUCAACGCCGGACAUCUCACCGGAUAAGACAGCUGAAUGAUUGCCGGGCUGAAGACUCUGCAUGACUAGCUGAGAGGAGGUGCAUGGCGUAGACGU
rnacentral:rRNA from 1 species